UACGUAGGUGGCAAGCGUUGUCCGGAUUUACUGGGCGUAAAGAGCGCGCAGGCGGUCGGAUAAGUCGAAUGUGAAAGCCCCCGGCUUAACUGGGGAGGGUCAUUCGAUACUGUUCGACUCGAAGGCAGGAGAGGGAAGCGGAAUUCCCGGUGUAGUGGUGAAAUGCGUAGAUAUCGGGAGGAACACCAGUGGCGAAGGCGACUGCCUGGCCUGUUCUUGACGCUGAGGCGCGAAAGCUAGGGGAGCAAACGGG
rnacentral:rRNA from 1 species